UACGGAGGGGGCUAGCGUUGUUCGGAAUGACUGGGCGUAAAGGGCGCGUAGGCGGUUUAUUAAGUGAGGCGUGAAAGCCCUGGGCUUAACCCAGGAGGUGCGUUUCAUACUGAUAAGCUAGAGUGCGAGAGAGGAAAGUGGAAUUCCUAGUGUAGAGGUGAAAUUCGUAGAUAUUAGGAAGAACACCAGAGGCGAAGGCGGCUUUCUGGCUCGCAACUGACGCUGAGGCGCGAAAGCGUGGGGAGCAAACAGG
rnacentral:rRNA from 1 species